rnacentral:rRNA from 1 species
AUUGAACGCUGGCGGCAGGCCUAACACAUGCAAGUCGAACGAGUGGCGGACGGGUGAGUAAUGUCUGGGAAACUGCCCGAUGGAGGGGGUUAACUACUGGAACCGGUAGCUAAUACCGCAUACCAUCGGAUGUGCCCAGAUGGGGUUAGCUAGUAGGUGGGGUAACGGCUCACCUAGGCGACGAUCCCUAGCUGGUUUGAGAGGAGGACCAGCCACACUGGAACUGUGACACUGUCCAGACUCCUACGGGAGCCAGCAGUGGGGAAUAUUGCACAGUGGGCGCAAGCCUGAUGCAGCCAUACCGCGUGUAUGAAGAAGGCCUUCGGGUUGGAAAGUACUUUCAGCGAGGAGGCGUUACUCGCAGAAGAAGCACCGGCUAACUCCGUGCCAGCAGCCGCGGUAAUAC